CUACGGGCGGCUGCAGUGAGGAAUAUUGCACAAUGGGGGAAACCCUGAUGCAGCAACGCCGCGUGGAGGAUGACGCAUUUCGGUGUGUAAACUCCUUUUAUAUGUCAAGAAAAUGACGGUAGCAUAUGAAUAAGCACCGGCUAACUCCGUGCCAGCAGCCGCGGUGAAUACGGAGGGUGCAAGCGUUACUCGGAAUCACUGGGCGUAAAGGACGCGUAGGCGGGUUGGUAAGUCAGGUGUGAAAUCCUACAGCUUAACUGUAGAACUGCACUUGAAACUACCAACCUAGAGUAUGGGAGGGGGAGAUGGAAUUAGUGGUGUAGGGGUAAAAUCCGUAGAUAUCACUAGGAAUACCGAAAGCGAAGGCGAUCUCCUGGAACAUAACUGACGCUAAGGCGUGAAAGCGUGGGGAGCAAACAGGAUUAGAUACCCCAGUAGUC
rnacentral:rRNA from 1 species